UACGUAGGGGGCGAGCGUUGUCCGGAUUUACUGGGCGUAAAGCGCGCGCAGGCGGCCUGAUCAGUCUGGGGUGAAAUCUCACGGCUCAACUGCGAGCGGUCCCUGGAUACUGUCAGUCUUGAGAUGUCUAGAGGAGAGCGGAAUUCCCGGUGUAGUGGUGGAAUGCGUAGAUAUCGGGAAGAACACCAGUGGCGAAAGCGGCUCUCUGGGGACCAUCUGACGCUGAGGCGCGAAAGCGUGGGGAGCGAACCGG
rnacentral:rRNA from 1 species